GUCGGGAAUAUUGCGCAAUGGAGGAAACUCUGACGCAGUGACGCCGCGUAUAGGAAGAAGGUUUUCGGAUUGUAAACUAUUGUCGUUAGGGAAGAGAAAGGACAGUACCUAAGGAGGAAGCUCCGGCUAACUACGUGCCAGCAGCCGCGGUAAUACGUAGGGAGCGAGCGUUAUCCGGAAUUAUUGGGUGUAAAGGGUGCGUAGACGGGAGAACAAGUUAGUUGUGAAAUACCUCGGCUCAACUGAGGAACUGCAACUAAAACUGUACUUCUUGAGUGCAGGAGAGGUAAGUGGAAUUCCUAGUGUAGCGGUGAAAUGCGUAGAUAUUAGGAGGAACACCAGUGGCGAAGGCGACUUACUGGACUGUAACUGACGUUGAGGCACGAAAGUGUGGGGAGCAAACAGGA
rnacentral:rRNA from 1 species